rnacentral:rRNA from 1 species
UAUGGUUAAGCGACUAAGCGUAUACGGUGGAUGCCUUGGCAGUCAGAGGCGAUGAAGGACGUGUUAAUCUGCGAAAAGCUGUGGUGAGGUGAUAAAACCCGUUGAGCCACAGAUAUCCGAAUGGGGCAACCCAGCUGCAUAAGCAGCUAUCUGCAUGUGAAUCCAUAGCAUGCAGAGGCGAACCGGGAGAACUGAAACAUCUAAGUACCCCGAGGAAAAGAAAUCAACCGAGAUUCCCCUAGUAGCGGC